AAGCCUGUGGAAGGAAAGAUGGUUGCAGCAAGGAGGUCUGUCUAAGAACCCAGUAAUUAUGUGCUGAACAAAAAUUCCAAUAUUUUAAUUUCUCCAAUCAAGUUCAGCAAAAAGUCUUUGACUACCUGCAGAGUGAGGAAGACCCGCUGGGCCCUUGCUGUAGCUGGGACGUGGGACAUCAGGACGCAGCCCUUGGCCAUCAAACCUACAGGAAGCAUAGAUGCUGUACCCAACAAGGGCAUCCUUCACGUUCGUUAAAGGUGAAAGGGAUGGCGGCACGUGUUGUUAACCAGAAAAGUCCUCCUGGUGUACAGGACCAACCUGGAGGGAGAACUGACUACGGCUGGAGCUGCCCCCAUUAGGUGACCUUGGUUCAGCCACAUGAGCAGUUUGAGACUCAGUUACCACAUCUGUAAAAUGGGGACACCUCACCCACCUGCUUCACAGUGCUAAGCUUGGAUUCCUGGAUUUUAAAACGUCUAAGAAACAUCCCUGGACCCCUCAACAUUGCUCUUGGAUCACUGGACGGGCCCCAGAUCUCAGUCUUUGAGAUGAGAAAACUGGGAUUUGAAGAGGACAAAGCAUUUGCCAAGAUCUUACAGAUCACAAACGGGACUGUGAGAUUACAAAUUCUUAAACAUGGCAAUACACCCUCCUCCCUGAUUUUCCUGAUGAGAAAACUAUGGAUCAGAAAGUUAAGUGACAUGUUCGGGACCAGCUAAGCACUAAAUUAUUAGAAGUCAGACCCAGGAAGUCAGACUCCAACCAGCACAACCUUCUCUUUGUCAAGUUGGAGGAUCCUUUUGUGCCAGAAGUAAUGGAUAGAGUGGGAUAGCGGGCAGAGAUGCAGACCUGGAGAAACUGAGAGGCUACUGGCUCCGCAUAUAUGUGAACAUGAAGCUACCUGGAGAGAAUCAAAAGAAUUCCAAGAGUGAGGAAAAAGGUGAGAGGAUCUUGGCUGCAUAAGGAAGAACUGAGAAUUUUUUACAGGCUAAACUGAGCUGCUACUAUU